GCACUUCAAAGACCAAACAGUCAGUUGAGAGAAGAGAAAGUCGACGAAAAAAAUGUCAACAUUAGUUUUGACCACUGUUUUUGUUAUUCUGUGCUGUGCAUUAUUCAUGUCUGUGGAAUCAAGAAAAUUGUAUGAAGAAUUUCUUUUAGCUAGAAUUGACUAAGAUGUGCACAUGCUGAGAUAUCGACUGAGGUACAACCUAAGUGGAACAGU
rnacentral:lncRNA from 1 species